UAGAGGACAGCUCACCACCGGGUCAAGAGGAUGCGGUCAACCCUCUAGACACGUCAUACCGGCAGGUACAUAGUGACUGAAACUGAGUCAAACUUUGCCUUUAUUUGCAAGAAUUUUCAAUCAUUGUGAGUUCAAGAAGCUUUAAUUGAGGGCUAAUUUUACAGAAUUGCAGCUAAAGUUUGUCCUUUUACUGAAGGUAUUUUUUUUAAAAAAAAAUUUGUUGUCUUCUGAGUUGCUAA